CAGUAGCCGCGGUAAUACGGAGGAUCCAAGCGUUAUCCGGAUUUAUUGGGUUUAAAGGGUGCGUAGGUGGCCUGUUAAGUCAGGGGUGAAAGACGGUAGCUUAACUAUCGCAGUGCCCUUGAUACUGAUGGGCUUGAAUGAACUAGAGGUAGGCGGAAUGUGACAAGUAGCGUUGAAAUGCAUAGAUAUGUCACAGAACGCCAAUUGCGAAGGCAGCUUACUAUGGUUUGAUUGACACUGAGGCACGAAAGCGUGGGGAUCAAACAGGAUUAGAUACCCCGGUAGUCCCUGUCUCUUAUAC
rnacentral:rRNA from 1 species